CUCUCCCUCUCCCUCCCGCGAGAAGCUACGCCGGCCGAUUCCGGCGAGCUCCGGCGGGAUUCGACGACGCCCGCCCCACAGCCGAGAGCCUCCCGACCCCGCGCCGCUGCGCCACCUCACCUCCGCCCGCCGGUGCGUGCUGCCACCUCAACGGACCCUAGGAGCCCCGCCACCUCACGCUGCCGCCUGCGCUACGUCGCGCGCCGCCACCUCCCCACAAGCUCGCCGCCCCGCCGCGGAAGCCUCGUCGCCGGUCGCCCCGACCUCGAGAUCCGCCGCCGCCAUGGGAGCCGAGCACCAAGCUCCUCUACGCCCCGCCCGCCAUGGGUGAUCUGAGGCCGGCCGGGAGGCGGGGAUGGGGCCCCGGUGGGUCCCGGGGAUCUGCGCAGUGGCGCUGCUCUGGCUCGCCGCGGCCGCAGCCGAAGAUCCCGAUCCCAACGAGCUCGAGCGCGCUCUCGUUGUUCUUCAGUCCCCACCGUGUCUUGUAUUUGGACGAGCUCAUGCUAAUAUGUGGUGGUACACUACCUGGGCAAGGUCAUUUUGAUACUGAUACUUGUGGUCAGUAGAGGGUUCAAAGCCUGACCAUCUCAUGGAUCCGUUGAUAAUAUCCCGGAAGUAAAUAUUGUUGCUUGCUUCAUCUCUACUAUUUUCUGUAACUGCUUAGUGUUAAGCUCAUGAUCAACCUGAUUACUUAUGCGGCAACCUUCUUACGUAGGUAGCGCGACAACAAUUCUUCUUCCUCAAAGCAUAUAUUUUCUCCAAGCGAUCAACAAAGUGUUUGGUCCAUUUGGAAGGUACUUGAUGCCUCUUGGUCAGAAGAUGAUGGCGAGUUCCUCAUUCCAAUUGAGUUUAUGUUGUGUAGGUUUGUUCGUCAUGAUCUGGAUUGCCACAGUCGUGUUCAAGUCCAAUGAUAUCUUGCGCAAGCAGACCGCUCUCAAGAUACAACGGUCCGGCAAGCUGCUAUGGUGGUCAAGUGUGUGCUGCCUAGGAAAAUAGAUAUUUAGUUUUAGGUCAUUUCUUGUAAUUUCAGAUAUGGAGUGCUUGUCUUUAGUUUUUGGUUUUUACUUUCUGAAACUUGCUACCUAUGGAUGAAACUGUGUAAUAUUGAUGAAACUAUGUAUAUGUAUGGAUGAAACUUGCUACUAUUGGUAACAUGUGUUGGAUAUCCUAUAUUGGUCAUAU